rnacentral:lncRNA from 1 species
UUUUUCCAAAAGAAAUAUGAAAAGUCCUUUCAAACAUCAUCCACAUCAUUUUACUAUUUAAUUUUUAUAAGUUAUUUAUACCAUUUUAUCAUUUAAGUUAAAGAUUUAUACACAUGUAAACAAGUUUUUUCAAAAAAAAAAAAAAGUCCUUUCAGAUAAUAAUUAUAAUCAAAUAAAUAUGUUAAAUUAGUAUAAAGUAGAUUAUACUAAUAUGUAUGUUAGAUAACAAUAACAAAUAACAAAUAUAACAAAAAAAAUAACAAAUAAAAAUAACAAACAAAAACAUAACAAACCAAAAUAAAUAGAUAAUAAACAAGAGAUCGC